GAAAUGCGAUAAGUAGUGUGAAUUGCAGAAUUCAGUGAAUCAUCGAAUCUUUGAACGCACAUUGCGCCCUUUGGUAUUCCUUAGGGCAUGCCUGUUCGAGCGUCAUCUAAACCUUCAAACCCUGCUUGGUGUUGGGUGCCUGUCCCGCCUCCGCGCGCGGACUCACCUCAAAUCCAUUGGCGGCCCCCGCGUCGGCCACGAGCGCAGCAGAAACGCGAACUCGUGAGCCCGUCCGGGCGGCUCCCAGAAGCUACACCCACCCAGUUUGACCUCGGAUCAGGUAGGGAUACCCGCUGAACUUAAGC
rnacentral:misc_RNA from 1 species